GUGUAGGCGGCCAAGUAAGUCUGAUGUGAAAUCCCUCGGCUUAACCGAGGAAGUGCAUCAGAAACUGCUUGGCUUGAGUAUGGGAGAGGAAGGCGGAAUUCCCGGUGUAGCGGUGACAUGCGUAGAUAUCGGGAGGAACACCUGUGGCGAAGGCGGCCUUCUGGCCCAAUACUGACGCUGAGACCCGAAAGCGUGGGGAGCAAACAGGAUUAGAUACCCUGGUAGUCCACGCCGUAAACGUUGGGUACUAGGUGUGGGAGGUUUAAUACCUUCUGUGCCGCAGCUAACGCAUUAAGUACCCCGCCUGGGGAGUACGGUCGCAAGAUUAAA
rnacentral:rRNA from 1 species